rnacentral:misc_RNA from 1 species
GAUGAAGAACGCAGCGAAAUGCGAUAAGUAAUGUGAAUUGCAGAAUUCAGUGAAUCAUCGAAUCUUUGAACGCACAUUGCGCCCGCGAGUAUUCUCGCGGGCAUGCCUGUCCGAGCGUCAUUUCAACCCUCAGGGCCCGCCUGCUUGCAGGCGCGGCGCUGGUGUUGGGGAUCGGCUACCCUGCCGUCCCCCAAAUACAGUGGCGGUCUUGCUGCAGCCUCCCCUGCGUAGUAGCAACACUCGCAUGCGGAGCGCGGCGCGGCCACGCCGUAAAACCCCCGACUUUCUGAACGUUGACCUCGGAUCAGGUAGGAAUACCCGCUGAACUUAAGCAUAUCAAUAAGCGGAGGA